AAGGUGUUAGUUUAACGGUAUAAUAAAGAGCUACGGACUCUUAAAUGUAAGUUCGAAUCUUGCACCACCUUC